GACGAUAAUAUAAAAUUAAGAAAGUUUAUAUUAUUACAGGAACUGCAAUUAAGAUGUUUCUAAUCAUCCUUCUUGGCGUAGUCGGCAAAUUGGCGUUGGUUUCCGGUGAAUGCGAUCUUGGUAGUCCAAAACUGAAGAAUGUUGAUUGGAAUGAAUUGACAGGUAACUGGUACUUCCUUUAUCACACAUCGAAUAAAGCAGAAGACAAUUUGGACUGUUUUCGCAGCAUCUAGGAUUUCAACAAAAGGCAAUCUUUAACCUUCGUACGUUAUGCGAGCAUUUUGGACUGGCAGAUACCUUCUUUUGGCAAUCGAGCGAGACAGUUACUUCGUAAUGACGUAUUGCUCAAAACAAGGUGGAAAUAGUAAGUAAACUUC